GUAGGUGGCAAGCGUUGUCCGGAUUUACUGGGCGUAAAGCGCGUGCAGGCGGUUCGUUAAGUUCAGGGUGAAAGCUCCCGGCUCAACUGGGAGAGGUCCUUGGAUACUGGCGGACUUGAGGGAGGUAGAGGAGAGUGGAAUUCCCGGUGUAGUGGUGAUAUGCGUAGAUAUCGGGAGGAACACCAGUGGCGAAGGCGGCUCUCUGGGCCUUACCUGACGCUGAGACGCGAAAGCGUGGGGAGCGAACCGGAUUAGAUACCCGGGUAGUCCACGCCGUAAACUAUGAACACUAGGUGUGGGGGGUAUCGACCCCCUCCGUGCCGAAGCUAACGCAAUAAGUGUUCCGCCUGGGGAGUACGGCCGCAAGGCUA
rnacentral:rRNA from 1 species